rnacentral:rRNA from 1 species
GUACACUCCUGCGGGAGGCAGCAGUGGGGAAUAUCGCACAAUGGGCGCAAGCCUGAUGCAGCCAUGCCGCGUGUAUGAAGAAGGCCUUCGGGUUGUAAAGUACUUUCAGCGGGGAGGAAGGCGAUAAGGUUAAUAACCUUGUCGAUUGACGUUACCCGCAGAAGAAGCACCGGCUAACUCCGUGCCAGCAGCCGCGGUAAUACGGAGGGUGCAAGCGUUAAUCGGAAUUACUGGGCGUAAAGCGCACGCAGGCGGUCUGUCAAGUCGGAUGUGAAAUCCCCGGGCUCAACCUGGGAACUGCAUUCGAAACUGGCAGGCUAGAGUCUUGUAGAGGGGGGUAGAAUUCCAGGUGUAGCGGUGAAAUGCGUAGAGAUCUGGAGGAAUACCGGUGGCGAAGGCGGCCCCCUGGACAAAGACUGACGCUCAGGUGCGAAAGCGUGGGGAGCAAACAGGAUUAGAAACCCCGGUAGUCCCAUGAU